rnacentral:rRNA from 1 species
UACGAAGGGAGCUAGCGUUGUUCGGAAUCACUGGGCGUAAAGCGCACGUAGGCGGAUGUGUCAGUCAGGGGUGAAAUCCCGGAGCUCAACUUCGGAACUGCCUUUGAUACAGCACGUCUUGAGUCCGGAAGAGGUGGGUGGAAUUCCUAGUGUAGAGGUGAAAUUCGUAGAUAUCAGGAGGAACACCGGUGGCGAAGGCGGGUCUCUGGGCAACUACUGACGCUGAGGAGCGAAAGCGUGGGGAGCGAACAGG